rnacentral:lncRNA from 1 species
UGGUGGUGUUGCCGGGAGCGGAAGAUAUCAUCCCUAUGGAAGGUAGAGAAUGGAGGAGUGGUGAAAAUGAAGGUAUUGUGGAUAAUUUUCUCAUGAGAGAGAGAUGGUAUUCUCAGUGAACAAGGAAUCCUGUAAUUCAAAUUGAUAAUUUACACCUUUUUAUUCUUGUAAACUGUACUUAAUCUGAAGAUAACAAACUAUACCAAUUCCAUGCGCCCAAUCUGCAAAAACAAUUUUAGAAAAAUUCACUUAGCAUUCAAACAUAUUCUUCAGUAUAUUGAGAGAAUUUGUUGUUUGGUUUUCUGGAUGAGGGUCCAUAAUUUGUGAUAUUGUGUUCAUUAUCUGUGAUUAUUUUCCACUAGUCUGCAUUUGUGCUGUUGGUUGGAUUUCUUCUCUUAAAAUGUAUUUGAAAUCAAAUAUUUGAAUUAAGCUUUGCGAUUCUUCCACCAUUCUCCAUUUUGCCACAGACCAGUUACACCUAUGGUUAUGUAGUAUAUUUAGAUUCUGCGUAGAAGGAAAGGAACAUCA